rnacentral:rRNA from 1 species
GUGAACAUACCUAUAACGUUGCCUCGGCGGGAACAGACGGCCCCGUAACACGGGCCGCCCCCGCCAGAGGACCCCCUAACUCUGUUUCUAUAAUGUUUCUUCUGAGUAAACAAGCAAAUAAAUUAAAACUUUCAACAACGGAUCUCUUGGCUCUGGCAUCGAUGAAGAACGCAGCGAAAUGCGAUAAGUAAUGUGAAUUGCAGAAUUCAGUGAAUCAUCGAAUCUUUGAACGCACAUUGCGCCCGCCAGUAUUCUGGCGGGCAUGCCUGUUCGAGCGUCAUUACAACCCUCAGGCCCCCGGGCCUGGCGUUGGGGAUCGGCGGAAGCCCCCUGCGGGCACAACGCCGUCCCCCAAAUACAGUGGCGGUCCCGCCGCAGCUUCCAUUGCGUAGUAGCUAACACCUCGCAACUGGAGAGCGGCGCGGCCACGCCGUAAAACACCCAACUUCUGAAUGUUGACCUCGAAUCAGGUAGGAAUACCCGCUG